rnacentral:rRNA from 1 species
UCACACUGACACUGACAUACGGGUCAGACUCCUACGGGAGGCAGCAGUCGGGAAUUUUGGGCAAUGGGCGAAAGCCUGACCCAGCAACGCCGCGUGAAGGAUGAAAUCCCUCGGGAUGUAAACUUCGCAAGAACGGGAAGAAUAAGUAGGGGACAAUACCCCCUAUGAUGACGGUACCGUUUGUAAGCUCCGGCUAACUCCGUGCCAGCAGCCGCGGUAAUACGGGGGGAGCAAGCGUUGUUCGGAUUUACUGGGCGUAAAGGGCGCGUAGGCGGCCAGCACAAGUCAGUUGUGAAAUCUCCGAGCUUAACUCGGAAAGGUCAACUGAUACUGUGCGGCUAGAGUGCGGAAGGGGCAACUGGAAUUCUUGGUGUAGCGGUGAAAUGCGUAGAUAUCAAGAGGAACACCUGCGGCGAAGGCGGGUUGCUGGGCCGACACUGACGCUGAGGCGCGAAAGCUAGGGGAGCGAACGGGAUUAGAUACCCCGGUAGUCCUAGCCUUAAACGAUGAAUGCUUGGUGUCUGGGGUUAUAAAGUCCCCGGGUGCCGUCGCUAACGCUUUAAGCAUUCCGCCUGGGGAGUACGGUCGCAAGACUGAAACUCAAAGGAAUUGACGGAAUCGAAUU